GGAUUAGAUACCCUGGUAGUCCACGCCGUAAACGAUGGUUACUAGCUGUUUGGAUCGAUUGAGAUCUGAGUGGCCAAGCGAAAGUGAUAAGUAACCCACCUGGGGAGUACGUUCGCAAGAAUGAAACUCAAAGGAAUUGACGGGGGCCCGCACAAGCGGUGGAGCAUGUGGUUUAAUUCGAUGAUACGCGAGGAACCUUACCAGGGCUUAAAUGCAGUAUGACAGAUUUGGAAACAGAUUUUUCUUCGGACAUAUUGCAAGGUGCUGCAUGGUUGUCGUCAGCUCGUGCCG
rnacentral:rRNA from 1 species